rnacentral:rRNA from 1 species
UACGUAGGGUGCGAGCGUUAAUCGGAAUUACUGGGCGUAAAGUGUGCGCAGGCGGCGCCGCAAGUCGAGUGUGAAAUCCCCGAGCUUAACUUGGGAAUUGCGCUCGAAACUACGACGCUGGAGUAUGGCAGAGGAAGGUGGAAUUCCACGUGUAGCGGUGAAAUGCGUAGAGAUGUGGAGGAACACCGAUGGCGAAGGCAGGUCUCUGGGCCACUACUGACGCUGAGAAGCGAAAGCAUGGGGAGCGAACAGG